GCAGGAAAAUGACCUAUGAAUUGACAGACUGUGUAUUCUAAGCUUGUCUGUCAUUUCUGUAGGCCAAUAUUCUGC
rfam:Alligator mississippiensis ScZkoYb_3.1, whole genome shotgun sequence.